rnacentral:rRNA from 1 species
AACGAGCGCAACCCCUAUGUUAGUUGCCAUCAUUCAGUUGGGCACUCUAGCGAGACUGCCGGUAAUAAACCGGAGGAAGGUGGGAUGACGUCAAAUCAUCAUGCCCCUUAUGGCCUGGGCUACAAACGUAAUGCAAUGGCGUAUACAAAGGGAUGCGAAAGGGCGACCUGGAGCAAAACUCACAAAGUACGUCUCAGUUCAGAUUGGAGUCUGCAACUCGACUCCAUGAAGGCGGAAUCGCUAGUAAUCGCGGAUCAGCAUGCCGCGGUGAAUACGUUCUCGGGGUUU